rnacentral:rRNA from 1 species
UACGUAGGGGGCGAGCGUUGUCCGGAGUUACUGGGCGUAAAGGGCAUGCAGGCGGUCGGACGCGUUUCGGGUGACAGCGGGUGGCUUAACUACCCGAGUGGUCGAAAGACGGUUUGACUUGAGGACGCGAGAGGGACACGGAAUUCCGGGUGGAGUGGUGAAAUGCGUAGAGAUCCGGAGGAACACCGAAGGCGAAGGCAGUGUCCUGGGGAGUACCUGACGCUCAGGUGCGAAAGCCAGGGGAGCGAACGGG